AUUGAACGCUGGCGGCAUGCCUUACACAUGCAAGUCGAACGGCAGCACGGGAGCAAUCCUGGUGGCGAGUGGCGAACGGGUGAGUAAUAUAUCGGAACGUGCCCAGUCGUGGGGGAUAACGUAGCGAAAGCUACGCUAAUACCGCAUACGAUCUAUGGAUGAAAGCGGGGGAUCGCUAGACCUCGCGCGAUUGGAGCGGCCGAUAUCAGAUUAGGUAGUUGGUGAGGUAAAGGCUCACCAAGCCGACGAUCUGUAGCUGGUCUGAGAGGACGACCAGCCACACUGGGACUGAGACACGGCCCAGACUCCUACGGGAGGCAGCAGUGGGGAAUUUUGGACAAUGGGCGCAAGCCUGAUCCAGCAAUGCCGCGUGCAGGAUGAAGGCCUUCGGGUUGUAAACUGCUUUUGUACGGAACGAAACGGCGAGCUCUAAUACAGCUUGCUAAUGACGGUACCGUAAGAAUAAGCACCGGCUAACUACGUGCCAGCCGCCGCUGUAA
rnacentral:rRNA from 1 species